CAUGGCCCUCUUCUUUGUUCUCUGCUGGAUCCAAGAGAUGGGGUUUCAUCAUGUUGGCCAGGCUGGUCAUGAACUCCUGACCUCAAUGGAUCCUCCUGCCUCAGCUUCCUGAGUAGCUGGGACCACAGGUGCACACCACCAUGCCCAGACUAUGUGAAAAUGAGCUUAGCCCCUGGUGUUGUGUUGGAACUUCAGAUGCUUGCAGACACUUCAUGAAUGCUCUGUGACACUCAGAAUAGGCUCUUCCCAACAAAAGAGCUUGAACAAUGCUGCAUUUGCCUCAGGUUCAAAUGAGCGAGAGGAACAUUUGGCUAAAAUAUUUGAGAUGGGGUUUCACUGUGUUAGCCAGGAUGGUCUCGAUCUCCUGACCUCAUGAUCCGCCCGCCUCGGCCUCCCAAAGUGCUGGGAUUACAGGCGUGAACCACCAUGCCCGGCCCAGAAUGUCCUUUCUUUUCGAAGCCGAGUAAUAUUCCAUUAUCACCUUUCAGAGGAGAAGAAUUUUAAAGAAUCCUGUCUG
rnacentral:sRNA from 1 species